rnacentral:snRNA from 1 species
AUCGCUUCUCGGCUUUUUGGCUAAGAUCAAGUGUUUUUAUCUGUUCUUAUCAGUUUAAUAAAUAUGUGUUAUAUGCAUAUAUAAUAUAUAUAUAUAAUGCAUAUGUGUUAACUGGUAUCUGUAUGUCCUUUCUGGGCCUCCAGUGUUGCAACUGUAGGGUUCUUUCUAGC